rnacentral:rRNA from 1 species
AUUGAACGCUGGCGGCAGGCCUAACACAUGCAAGUCGGACGGUAGCACAGAGAGCUUGCUCUCGGGUGACGAGUGGCGGACGGGUGAGUAAUGUCUGGGGAUCUGCCCGAUAGAGGGGGAUAACCACUGGAAACGGUGGCUAAUACCGCAUAACGUCGCAAGACCAAAGAGGGGGACCUUCGGGCCUCUCACUAUCGGAUGAACCCAGAUGGGAUUAGCUAGUAGGCGGGGUAACGGCCCACCUAGGCGACGAUCCCUAGCUGGUCUGAGAGGAUGACCAGCCACACUGGAACUGGGACACGGUCCAGACUCCUACGGGAGGCAGCAGUGGGGAAUAUUGCACAAUGGGCGCAAGCCUGAUGCAGCCAUGCCGCGUGUAUGAAGAAGGCCUUCGGGUUGUAAAGUACUUUCAGCGGGGAGGAAGGCGAUGUGGUUAAUAACCGCAUUGAUUGACGUUACCCGCAGAAGAAGCACCGGCUAACUCCGUGCCAGCAGCCGCCGCAG